GACUGAAGAUCUGCUUUGUGGGCUGGACCUCUUCAGACACCAGAAUGAAAGCAGAACCUGCAAUAUGACUCACAACACCUCUCUGAGGUUUGACUGAGUCAAAAGAGUUUGUGAUCCAACUGCAUGUUGGAGGCCAAAGGUCAGCUGCUGGCUGUGAGAGGUAGGUCCUUGGGUCAGUCUGAAUGUGACAAACACACUGUCAGUUGCUGAGGAGUCGAGUCCUUUUUAAUAACGCUUUGGCACACGAGUCCCAGAUCAGUUACAGAUGCUAGCCCUCGAGCAGAGAGGGUUGGUGUUCUGUGCUGUGGCUCGAAUGCAGGCUGAGAUCACAAGAAGACCUGCGAGCUGCUGAUGUUUCAUGUGUAUGACGAUGUGAAGAGAAGGAAGCUGAAUGCAGAGGUGGUGCUCUCCGCCUCUGCCGCCAGGCCAUGUUACACCACAGUUCAAGAGGGGGGCAAUGAACGUGUCACAGGUGCGACUCACCUGACUUGACUACACCUGAGUGUGUGGUCAAGUGAGUCUGAGGAGGAGGACCUGUGUCCGUCACAUGUCUGCUGGGACUCUGCAGACACACAAAUCUUGAUGUAGGUGUAAAAACCACUGAUGUUUGGAAAUGCUGAGCUGGAUUUGAUCCAAACCUUCUGCUGUAUUUAUUUUUGUUUCAUUCUCUAUUUUCUGUAACAGAAUGAAAUAAAUCAGGUUAAAUUGUUUUCAUUUGUCAGUGAUGACAGUCAUGCACCUGAGGGCAUCAUCAAACUGUUUUCAUCUGAACCAAAUAUUUGCAUAGAUGUAAGAUUAUCUACAGCUGCUUUCAGUACCACUGAUGUUAAUUUAGUGUCUUUCUCUCCAGCUGAUCUGAGUUAGCUUGAGUAACUACCACCAGCUGCUUUGGCCUGUUCUUUUCUGUAUCACAUGGUGGCGCAGUAAGUCACUGUAACUUUCAUUUAAUUAGAGUUUAUUUCCUGUAAACAAAUAUUAAAUGAUUUCUAACCAA